GGGUCGGUGGUCUAGAUUGGCUAUGAUUCUUGGUUUGGGACCAAGUGAUCGGGAGUUCAAAUCUCCCCCGGCCCACCA
rnacentral:tRNA from 1 species